GACAUAAUUUUCAAGUUUGAUAUGACCUAAUAACUACCACAUUUACAGGAAGUAUGGUAAUACAUUCUUGUCAGCUGUCUGGGCAAAUCUUCUCUCGCAGAAUUGGAUUAAAAUUUAAUGUAUUUUAUUUCUCACUUCCAACGAUGUCGCAAUUAUUAGGCAGCUAUCAAGUCUCAAGAUAUGACAUAAUUUGAUAGAAUGUUAGUACCAACGCUAUCAGUGCAUUGAAGUCGAGUUCUCGAUACAGGGAGCUGCUGGUAAACUACCGUCGCUAUACAUCGACUAUGACUACAAUCCUACUUUUAAAAACAAACUACAUACAUAUCUCACAUUUGCGAGGACUACUUCAUCACAAGCAAAAAAUCGACAUUGGUAAAUAAAGGUCUGUCUUCUAUAACCACGAUGAAAAGAAAAGCUGGGCGAAAACAUUUGAGACUGCAGAUUGCAGAACUGGAACACUCUAUUUGAAGACAGUGGCUGCUGAGUGCUGAGCUGCAUCAAAUCUAUCAGGAUCAUGUAACUUCGAUCAGGAACAGACUCCAUUUCAUUUCCGACAACUAGCACCUGUUUUCCCUAGACUUACCAAGUAUUAAGUAACUGCAUUAGUAUUAGGUUAAAUUAAAGGCCCUACAUCGAACAAGUCUAACAAUUAAAACUUAAAUGCAAGAGUGCACAAUUUAUCACUAAAUAUCUUCCUCUUUUAAUUCUAAUCAACACACGGUUUCGUCUUUGUUUCACCCAAUCGUGCUGAUAAUCAGUAAUCAUGCACUCUGCACUCUAACUUCGAGAUGUUUCAAAAGGGCUCCCGACGAGUUGAAUUAGAUCAAUAUUUUCUUUUGAUACAUAGAUACUGAUUGGGAGGUUCAUCAUACUAUUCUUGUCACAUGGUAACGAUUAACGAUUAGCUGAUCAGCUUCCAGCAUCGACAGGCCGAAAUCCAUAAAUAUAAUCAGUUGUAAUUUAAUAUUUAUCAUCGUCCGGAUCAUCAUAAUAUUUUAAUUUAAAGUUACAAUUGAACGGUGUUAAGAAAGAUAAUUUAAGAGAAAUGUUUUGAAAGUGCCUGAUUUCGAGUAUAAGAUCUGUACUGAUACAUUAAUUUUCAGAUUGUUAUUAUAGUUUAUUUGUAUUUUUUAUAUUAUCUUAUCCGCACAAGUUCGGAAGCCAUCUGAACGCUAUUGCCAGACACAGGCAUAUAUUUAUUUUGGGGUAUCAUGCUCUCAGAAAUUUCAACUCAGUCCGAUAUUAUAGUUAUACUAACCUGCAUUGCAUAAGGUUAAUUGUCUCGCAGUCUAGUGCAUAAACCUUUUAUUUUGUAUAAACCCUUUAUUUUGAUUGGGAAAACUUUAGUUUAAUGUGGUUACCGUCUCUAAAGUUGGCAUGAUAGUUAAUAAACUCUUAUCUAUUAUGUCACUGAAGAUGACGCCUUGCAACAUGUUUGACGAUAGCCUGUAGAUUGAUAGUUUGAUCUAAGUAUUUACAACAAUUCAUCUAGUUUGAUUGAUUCAAAGGGAAACAAAUUCCUCUCUUAUCUAUUAUGACUAUAUUUAAAUUCAAUCCUGUAAAGUGAUACUCCUUUUUUAGUAAUUUAAA